UACGGAGGGGGCUAGCGUUGUUCGGAAUUACUGGGCGUAAAGCGCGCGUAGGCGGACCUGCAAGUCGGGGGUGAAAGCCCGAGGCUCAACCUCGGAACUGCCUUCGAUACUGCGGGUCUCGAGUCCGGGAGAGGUGAGUGGAAUUCCUAGUGUAGAGGUGAAAUUCGUAGAUAUUCGGAAGAACACCAAUGGCGAAGGCAGCUCGCUGGGACGUGACUGACGCUGAGACGCGAAAGCGUGGGGAGCAAACAGG
rnacentral:rRNA from 1 species